rnacentral:rRNA from 1 species
AACCAGCACCUCGAGUGGUCAGGAGGUUUAUUGGGCCGUAAACGACAUCCGUAGCCGGUUGCAUAAGUUUUCGGUUAAAUCUAUGCGCUCAACGUAUAGGCCGCCGAAAAUACUGUGCAGCUAGGGAGUGGGAGAGGUACACGGUACUCAAUAGGAAGGGGUAAAUCCUUUGAUCUAUUGAUGACCACCUGUGGCGAAGGCGGUGUACCAGAACACGUUCGACGGUGAGGGAUGAAAGCUGGGGGUA